UAUCUUCAUUUCGAUAUAAAAGCCGUACGUUUCCGCAUUUCACUCAUAGUCUGACGUUAUUUGAACAAUUAUUAUACGAUUCAAGUUAACUGAAAUUUAUUCUGAUUGUGAGUUCCAAAUUAAAGUUUUAUAUAUAAAAUAAAUCCAAGAGAUGAUUUCUUAAAUUAACUCCUCACGGAAGACAAACUCCUUGUGCUGGUGAUAACACAACAAUUUGUGUUAAAAUGCCAAGAAUAAAUAUAGCAAAUGUUAUAAAUUUAUUAAUCACAACGUUUAACAUUGCAAAUUUUGGUGUCUCACCUGUUAAUCGCCAUGAAGUUGAACUUCAUAAUGCCAUUUCCGAUAUAAUAAAAAAUGCUGUAAAUGAUGAUGUUGAGAUUGAAUACAAAUGGGAACUUGAGUUUGAUGAUCCGUCGAAACCGCAUGAUGUACAAUUUGUGGACGUGUAUGAUAUUGAUGCUGAAGAAGAUAAUUAUGAAGACAAAGUUUGUAUUGUGGAUAACGAAGGUGGAAAUGUAAACUUAAAUUACAAAAGAAAAGCAGUUGAAUUUUGGAACAGUGGAAAAAAAGGACAUUUAGCUAUUACUGCUGUACAGAAUCGUUUUAGAAAGGUAAAAUUUAAUACAAACAUAAGAAAAAUAAUAUGAGUUGAACGAGCAGGUAGAUGUGCGUUGUGUAUAAAUAGUAGGUAAAAUCUGUUUCGCAAUUGCAUAGAUGGGAAGAAAAUGUAAUGCGCGGAGGGUCAAACAGGGACAAACUUGUAUUUAUUGCCGAAUAUGUACUAUCGCAAUUCCAAGAAGCUAUUGAUAGAGGAUCUAUCAUUCACGACAUAGAUUUGCGAAAAUGGGCAUUACAAGCAAAGGAGCAAAUAGACUUUUCUUCAUUUAGAGCAGGAAAUUGGUGGAUAUGGAAUUUUAAAAAAGCACAUCGCAUUGUAUCACGUAAAAUAACAAGUUUUAAAACGCGAUCUUCUCAUGCAGCUGAUGUAACAAUACGUCAAAGCGCAGAGGAAUUUGUGAGACAGGUUAAACCACAUAUUGAUGUUAUCGGUGCAGGAUCAAUUUAUAAUGCAGAUGAAAGCGGCUUUAAUUUCGAAGUACAUUCUGGAAGAACAUUAA